GAUGAACGCUGGCGGCGUGCCUAAUACAUGCAAGUCGAGCGAAUGGAUUAAGAGCUUGCUCUUAUGAAGUUAGCGGCGGACGGGUGAGUAACACGUGGGUAACCUGCCCAUAAGACUGGGAUAACUCCGGGAAACCGGGGCUAAUACCGGAUAACAUUUUGAAUCGCAUGGUUCGAAAUUGAAAGGCGGCUUCGGCUGUCACUUAUGGAUGGACCCGCGUCGCAUUAGCUAGUUGGUGGGGUAACGGCUCACCAGGGCAACGAUGCGUAGCCGACCUGAGAGGGUGAUCGGCCACACUGGGACUGAGACACGGCCCAGACUCCUACGGGAGGCAGCAGUAGGGAAUCUUCCGCAAUGGACGAAAGUCUGACGGAGCAACGCCGCGUGAGUGAUGAAGGCUUUCGGGUCGUAAAACUCUGUUGUUAGGGAAGAACAAGUGCUAGUUGAAUAAGCUGGCACCUUGACGGUACCUAACCAGAAAGCCACGGCUAACUACGUGCCAGCAGCCGCCGUAA
rnacentral:rRNA from 1 species